rnacentral:rRNA from 1 species
UGGGGAAUAUUGCACAAUGGGCGCAAGCCUGAUGCAGCGACGCCGCGUGAGGGAUGACGGCCUUCGGGUUGUAAACCUCUUUCAGCAGGGACGAAGCGCAAGUGACGGUACCUGUAGAAGAAGACCGGCCAACUACGUG